UACGAAGGGGGCUAGCGUUGCUCGGAAUCACUGGGCGUAAAGCGCACGUAGGCGGCUCUUUAAGUCAGGGGUGAAAUCCUGGAGCUCAACUCCAGAACUGCCUUUGAUACUGAGGGGCUUGAGUCCGGGAGAGGUGAGUGGAACUGCGAGUGUAGAGGUGAAAUUCGUAGAUAUUCGCAAGAACACCAGUGGCGAAGGCGGCUCACUGGCCCGUAACUGACGCUGAGGCACGAAAGCGUGGGGAGCAAACAGG
rnacentral:rRNA from 1 species